AAUCAACGCUGGCGGCGCGCUUAACACAUGCAAGUCGAGCGAGAAAGGGGAGCAAUCCCUGAGUACAGCGGCGUACGGGUGAGUAACACGUGGGUGAUCUACCUUCUAGUGUGGAAUAACCCUGGGAAACCGGGGCUAAUACCGCAUAAGCCUGUGAAGGGAAAGCAGCAAUGCGCUGGAAGAGGAGCCCGCGGCCGAUUAGCUAGUUGGUGAGGUAACGGCCCACCAAGGCGAUGAUCGGUAGCCGGCCUGAGAGGGCACACGGCCACACUGGCACUGAAACACGGGCCAGACUCCUACGGGAGGCGAGCAGUGGGGAAGUCUUGCACAAUGGAGGCAACUCUGAUGCAGCGACGCCGCGUGAGCGAUGAAGCCC
rnacentral:rRNA from 1 species